rnacentral:rRNA from 1 species
GGAUUUAUUGGGCGUAAAGAGCUCGUAGGCGGUUCGUUAAGUCGGACGUGAAAUCUCCACGCUCAACGUGGAGGGGCCGGUCGAUACUGUCGGACUAGAGUACAGAAGGGGCAACUGGAAUUCUCGGUGUAGCGGUGAAAUGCGUAGAUAUCGAGAGGAACACCUGCGGCGAAGGCGGGUUGCUGGGCUGAUACUGACGCUGAGGCGCGAAAGCCAGGGGAGCGAACGGG